AAUGCCAGUCACCCCUUGCACACAGUCAUUAGCAACUAGAGGAGCCCGUUCUAGAACCGAAGAAAACUUGACUUAGUGAAAGGUAAAAGGGCUGGUAAAUUUCGUGCCAGCCACCGCGGUUACACGAAAAGCCCAAGUUGAUAAACAACGGCGUAAAGGGUGGUUAAGGGCUUUUAAAACUAAAGUCGAACUUUAUCAAGGCUGUUAUACGCAUACGAAAACAGAAAAUCAUCUACGAAAGUGACUCUAACUUUCCUGACACCACGAAAGCUAUGAAACAAACUGGGAUUAAAUACCCCACUAUGCAUAGCCGUAAACCUGACAGCUCAGUACAUUCGCUGUCCGCCCGGGGACUACAAGCACGAGCUUCAAACCCAAAGGACUUGACGGUGCUUCACAUCCACCUAGAGGAGCCUGUUCU
rnacentral:rRNA from 1 species